UAAUACGGAGGGUGCAAGCGUUAUCCGGAUUUACUGGGUUUAAAGGGUGCGUAGGUGGGCAGUUAAGUCAGUGGUGAAAUCUCCGAGCUUAACUCGGAAACUGCCAUUGAUACUAUCUGUCUUGAAUUAUCUGGAGGUAAGCGGAAUAUGUCAUGUAGCGGUGAAAUGCUUAGAUAUGACAUAGAACACCAAUUGCGAAGGCAGCUUACUACGGAUUUAUUGACACUGAGGCACGAAAGCGUGGGGAUCAAACAGGAUUAGAUACCCUGGUAGUCCACGCCCUAAACGAUGGAUACUCGACAUCAGCGAUACACUGUUGGUGUCUGAGCGAAAGCAUUAAGUAUCCCACCUGGGAAGUACGAUCGCAAGAUUG
rnacentral:rRNA from 1 species